GUCCACGCCCUAAACGAUGGAUACUAGACGUAAGAGGUAUCGACCCCUCUUGUGUCGCAGCUAACGCAUUAAGUAUCCCGCCUGGGGACUACGGCCGCAAGGUUGAAACUCAAAUGAAUUGACGGGGACCCCGCACAAGCGGUGGAGCAUGUGGUUUAAUUCGAUAAUAACCGAAGAACCUUACCCAGGUUUGACAUCGAUCGCAAAGCCCUGAAAGGGGCUCCUCUCUCACAAGGAGACGUGAAGACAGAUGUUGCAUGGCUGUCGU
rnacentral:rRNA from 1 species